UACUACAAUGAAAUGUUCUUUCCCCUCUCCUGAAAAGGCUACAAUUAAAAAGUGUAUCAGUCAGCGUGGAGUUGGUGAGGAUGUGGGGGACAGUAAGGAGGACACACUCAGGGAAAAACACUUGGCACCCUCUAAACAAGAUUCUCGUGCUUGAGGGUUUCCAUUUGCGACACUGGACUCUGAGAAAGGCUUGUAACUGUACAACUGUUGUGUGGCACAACAAGAAAGUGACUUCAGCCACACAGGCUUCUGCAAUGAGGAGGAAAACCCCUCAAGCUAAAGAAAGAACUCAGGCCCCGUCUCGUUGAGCACCCCACACACAUUGUCUGCAUUCUCUGAGCCUGAGCACAAGGCAGGACGGUGACACAUCCAUCUUCUUAGCCAUCCCUGAGCAGGGUCUGCUCCCCAGGACUCAGGCCUGGACUGGGCUCUUCACAUAUUUCCCCUUUCACAUCUAUAGUGAGGGGCUCUGUGACCAAGGACCUGUCAUCCUGCUGGAGAGGGA
rnacentral:lncRNA from 1 species